GACGAACGCUGGCGGCGUGCUUAACACAUGCAAGUCGAGCGGUAAGGCCCUUUCGGGGGUACACGAGCGGCGAACGGGUGAGUAACACGUGGGUGACCUGCCCUCAGCUCUGGGAUAAGCCUGGGAAACUGGGUCUAAUACUGGAUAUGACUCCACGGUGCAUGUCGUGGGGUGGAAAGCCUUGUGCGGCUGAGGAUGGGCCCGCGGCCUAUCAGCUUGUUGGUGGGGUGAANGGCCUACCAAGGCGACGACGGGUAGCCGGCCUGAGAGGGCGACCGGCCACACUGGGACUGAGACACGGCCCAGACUCCUACGGGAGGCAGCAGUGGGGAAUCUUGCGCAAUGGGCGAAAAGCCUGACGCAGCGACGCCGCGUGAGGGAUGACGGCCU
rnacentral:rRNA from 1 species